UAGGGAAUCUUCGGCAAUGGACGAAAGUCUGACCGAGCAACGCCGCGUGAGUGAAGAAGGUUUUCGGAUCGUAAAACUCUGUUGUUAGAGAAGAACAAGGACGUUAGUAACUGAACGUCCCCUGACGGUAUCUAACCAGAAAGCCACGGCUAACUACGUGCCAGCAGCCGCGGUAAUACGUAGGUGGCAAGCGUUGUCCGGAUUUAUUGGGCGUAAAGCGAGCGCAGGCGGUUUCUUAAGUCUGAUGUGAAAGCCCCCGGCUCAACCGGGGAGGGUCAUUGGAAACUGGGAGACUUGAGUGCAGAAGAGGGGAGUGGAAUUCCAUGUGUAGCGGUGAAAUGCGUAGAUAUAUGGCGGAACACCAGUGGCGAAGGCAGCUCUCUGGUCUGUAACUGACGCUGAGGCUCGAAAGCGUGGGGAGCAAACAGG
rnacentral:rRNA from 1 species